ACCCUCCCGCGAGCACCGCGAGCCAGCUCCCAGCGGGGAUCUUGGAUUUGCUUUCUGCGUCCAUCAGGGGUUUGGUUCUGCUUCACCCCAACAGUGGGGCAGCCGGGAAGGUCGGCGAGAUAGAGACGCUUCGGCUGGCUCAGUACAAGGCGUUUUACACCACAGGAGGGGCGAUGGCUUGUGACGGGAGCAUUGGGCCAGCUGAGCAUCACCAGCCACCCCUCAUUUUCAAUCUGGAUCGCGAUAUCCAGGAGCAGGAGCCUUUGGACGUGGCAUCCCGGGAGUAUCAGGCAGUGCUGCCUGCCGUCAGCAGGGCUUACGCCCAAGCUCUGGAGGACAUCGCAACGGACAACGUCUCGGUGGCAGAUUACUCCACAGACCCGGCAGCAACUCCCUGCUG